CUCCGAGCCCCCUCCGAUACCCCUCUUUCCACGCGGUUUUCAGCCCUCGAGGGGGGACCCGAGGAUUCGGAGGAGAUGAUGCCACCGCCGCCUCCUCAAUGCACCGCCGCCCGACUCCUCCUCAAGACGUCGUCGCCCGCCACCUCUACGCUGGCGUAUCUCCUCCGGCAUACCCCCGGGUGUAAGUCCUCGCCUUGCCUCGCCUCUUCCCCUUUCCCCUUGUCAUCUAGGUUUUGUCCACCCCCAGCGAGCUCGCCAUGGUUGCCGCCUCGUCCUCCCCAACGAGCUCGCCAAGCACGCUGUCUCUGAGGGCACCUAGUCCGUCAGCAAGUUCACCUCCUCCUCCUCCUCCUCCUAGGCUACCAUUGGCUCUGCUUAUCUCUCCAAGUAGUGACAAUGGUAGUGCAAUCUCUCUACAAGUAGUGUCCAGACCCAUCUUAGUAUUCAACAGAUUUGAUAUUGAUUGACAUGCCCUUUGGCUGAAUUUUAUUAGAAGCCAAUACGGAUGUACUUGAGUAGAUUUAGAACCCACAGAUGUUGCAGUUCUUCAGUCUGGAGCAAACAAUUUCUUCAGAGAUCAUUGUCUUUUCCUAAGCAGAGUUGAUGUACUGAUGCUUUAUUCCGCUGUUCUUCGACCACUACUGUUGUUGCGUCCGCGCUCAUAAACACAACCAUGUAAUCUUGUGGAAAGGAGUAUUGUAUGCAUAUGGUCCGAAGAUAUAAUUGUCCAAAAUCCGGUGUUUGCUGCUGCAAUCCAAGUACAGUAUUUGUAAAUUAGUGAUGGUGAUGGUCUGAUGUUAUAAUUGUUGUGUGUAUGUUUUGUGACCAUGGACAACUCUAGUAUAUUGAUUGCCAGUUCAAGGUUAUACAUAAUUCUUUGGUUAGGAAACGAUGGACAAACUUGCACGUAUCACACCUUGCAUCAGAUUUACAGUGUGAGUCAAUCUCUUGUCAUUCCAUCUUCUCAAAUGACCGGCAAAAGUGUAGCCCAUCUCUAUAUCUGUUGUUCAGGGUUCAACAGGUGUAUGUUUGAUAGAUCUUGUAGAGCAUUAUCGUUUGGAAAUUUAGCCGGAAGCCAUAAAGCUAUGCUAAGUAACCAAUUUAUGCAUGUCCAGCCUUAAAAUCUAGUGUUAAAUAUUAUUCAGUAUAAUUUGUAUUGUUGUUUGGUUUAGAUUAGAUGUUUGGCAACUAUCUUUUUGAGUUAAAGCCACCUAUAAUCCUCCCACAAAUUUUUUUAACUGCCCCAAAUUUGAGCAGGAUAGGUGAGCUCUCAUGAUGCUCGAUUUUUUGAUCUGUUUAAUGAUGUUAUAUGGCAUAUGGCAAAUAACUAGUGGAAUAUAGUUUAUUUGCAGUGACAUUCGUUUUUGAUCUAUUUAAGUAUGGAACUUUUGAUCAGCUGUUAAGCAUUUGGUAAACUCUAUGACAUGAUGUACACAACCACAAAUCUUUAUGGCAAUUAGAUUGCAGUAUGGUAUUUGUUUCUUGUAUGAAUGAUUAUAUGUCAUCGUACAUGUAGAUGAUAUGUUCUUAUUUUGACUGGACAUGAGGGGGAGCAAGGUGGCUGGAGAUGGGAAAACGAUGAGGCUUUGUUUGGUAGAAGUGGAAUGGGGAGGUUUGGGGAGGGCUGGUGGUGGCUGUAGGUAGGUGACGUAUCCUUUCCGCAUCCUCAUGGCCAGCACCGUUAUAUUCCUAGAUAGAAACAAUACAUCCAGAUCCAAUAUUCUUCUUCUAAUUAUUAUUACAUCUGAAAAAAGCAUACCCCUAGAUAGAUAAAUGGAUGGAUGAAUUUGUGUGUCAUCUUUGAUUUUCUAAGUUGACUGACAUGAAUUCAGAAUUGAAGAGGAGGCCCGGGUAGAAUUAAUGUCAGAUGAGCCAAACUGAAUGUGCUUAUUUCCGAAUAAUGUUCAGUCAGAAAAAACUUGAACCAAAACUGAAUAACCUACGGUCAUAAGGAAAUUCUUUGUUUGGAAACUGAUUGUCUAUCUAGAAUGUUGCAGUUGUGGCACUACAUGAUCUUACUAAUGCUGUCUUUUCUACUCAAUGUGGCUGUAUUUUCUUGGUGGUAUCACGCAGAUUGGUUCUUAUUUAUGUCGUCUAUUUUUUUAUCUAGCUAGCUAGCUAACUUGCUCCAUUUCCAUUGAACUGAAUCUAUGUAAUAGACCUUGCUAACUUGUUCUCCCUCCAUACAUAAAAAAAAAACUUGUUCUCCCUCCAUGGACCUUGCAGCCUCUUCCACAUUCCACCACCAUCAGCCUCCUUAACCCCAACCGAAGAGCUGGCCUUUUCCCCACUCACACGGCGCUGUGGUACGCGGAUGUCGCUGCAGAGUAGAGAGAUACCCCUAGAAGUCGCCUUCCUGUCCACCUCUUCAGAAGUGCCACCGCCUUGGACACGACGACAUUAGAACCCAAUUCCUAUCAUAGAGAUAUGGGGUCAGGAAAACCCAACAGUUCAUUUAUUCCUGCUAGUUAAACUUGGGCUGUUAUAGAGAUAUGCAGGCCCAUCUAAUUACAUGUUACUCUCAAACUGUUUGAGCAAUAUGCAGUGAUGUUAGUCUGUAAUGCAUUGACAAUGGCCGCUACUUCAGGCGUUGCUAGCUGCAUUUCUCUACUGCCCUGUUGUUUUGUAGGUGACGCCCUUAGUUUUGCUACUUUGCAUAUUCUGGGAGCAAUUACAGUGAGGUUAUAUGUGAU
rnacentral:rRNA from 1 species